GCGUGAAUGAUGAAGGCCCUAGGGUUGUAAAAUUCUGUCGCUAGAGAAGAUAAUGACGGUAUCUAGCAAGAAAGCUCCGGCUAACUCCGUGCCAGCAGCCGCGGUAAUACGGAGGGAGCUAGCGUUGUUCGGAAUUACUGGGCGUAAAGCGCACGUAGGCGGAUUGAAAAGUCAGAUGUGAAAUCCCGGAGCUCAACUCCGGAACUGCAUUUGAAACUCUCAGUCUUGAAUCCAGGAGAGGAUAGUGGAAUUCCGAGUGUAGAGGUGAAAUUCGU
rnacentral:rRNA from 1 species